CAGUCGCCACGGUAAUACGAAGGGGGCUAGCGUUGUUCGGAAUUACUGGGCGUAAAGGGCGCGUAGGCGGCCAUUCAAGUUAGAUGUGAAAGCCCUGGGCUUAACCUGGGGGCUGCAUUCAAUACGUGCGGGCUAGAAUGUGGAAGAGGGUUGUGGAAUUCCCAGUGUAGAGGUGAAAUUCGUAGAUAUUGGGAAGAACACCGGUGGCGAAGGCGGCAACCUGGUCCAUAAUUGACGCUGAGGCGCGAAAGCGUGGGGAGCAAACAGGAUUAGAUACCCCCGUAGUCCCUGUCUCUUAUAC
rnacentral:rRNA from 1 species